rnacentral:rRNA from 1 species
ACGAACGCUGGCGGCGUGCCUAAUACAUGCAAGUCGAACGCUUCUUUUUCCACCGGAGCUUGCUCCACCGGAAAAAGAGGAGUGGCGAACGGGUGAGUAACACGUGGGUAACCUGCCCAUCAGAAGGGGAUAACACUUGGAAACAGGUGCUAAUACCGUAUAACAAUCGAAACCGCAUGGUUUUGAUUUGAAAGGCGCUUUCGGGUGUCGCUGAUGGAUGGACCCGCGGUGCAUUAGCUAGUUGGUGAGGUAACGGCUCACCAAGGCGACGAUGCAUAGCCGACCUGAGAGGGUGAUCGGCCACAUUGGGACUGAGACACGACCCAAACUCCUACGGGAGGCAGCAGUAGGGAAUCUUCGGCAAUGGACGAAAGUCUGACCGAGCAACGCCGCGUGAGUGAAGAAGGUUUUCGGAUCGUAAAACUCUGUUGUUAGAGAAGAACAAGGAUGAGAGUAACUGUUCAUCCCUUGACGGUAUCUAACCAGAAAGCCACGGCUAACUACGUGCCAGCAGCCGCGGUAAUACGUAGGUGGCAAGCGUUGUCCGGAUUUAUUGGGCGUAAAGCGAGCGCAGGCGGUUUCUUAAGUCUGAUGUGAAAGCCCCCGGCUCAACCGGGGAGGGUCAUUGGAAACUGGGAGACUUGAGUGCAGAAGAGGAGAGUGGAAUUCCAUGUGUAGCGGUGAAAUGCGUAGAUAUAUGGAGGAACACCAGUGGCGAAGGCGGCUCUCUGGUCUGUAACUGACGCUGAGGCUCGAAAGCGUGGGGAGCAAACAGGAUUAGAUACCCUGGUAGUCCACGCCGUAAACGAUGAGUGCUAAGUGUUGGAGGGUUUCCGCCCUUCAGUGCUGCAGCUAACGCAUUAAGCACUCCGCCUGGGGAGUACGACCGCAAGGUUGAAACUCAAAGGAAUUGACGGGGGCCCGCACAAGCGGUGGAGCAUGUGGUUUAAUUCGAAGCAACGCGAAGAACCUUACCAGGUCUUGACAUCCUACUAACGAGAUAGAGAUAUGUUAGGUGCCCUUCGGGGAAAGUAGAGACAGGUGGUGCAUGGUUGUCGUCAGCUCGUGUCGUGAGAUGUUGGGUUAAGUCCCGCAACGAGCGCAACCCUUAUUGUUAGUUGCCAUCAUUUAGUUGGGCACUCUAGCAAGACUGCCGGUGACAAACCGGAGGAAGGUGGGGAUGACGUCAAAUCAUCAUGCCCCUUAUGACCUGGGCUACACACGUGCUACAAUGGGAAGUACAACGAGUCGCAAAGUCGCGAGGCUAAGCUAAUCUCUUAAAGCUUCUCUCAGUUCGGAUUGUAGGCUGCAACUCGCCUACAUGAAGCCGGAAUCGCUAGUAAUCGCGGAUCAGCACGCCGCGGUGAAUACGUUCCCGGGCCUUGUACACACCGCCCGUCACACCACGAGAGUUUGUAACACCCGAAGUCGGUGAGGUAACCUUUUGGAGCCAGCCGCCUAAGGUGGGAUAGAUGAUUGGGGUG